AACGAACGCUGGCGGCAUGCCUAACACAUGCAAGUCGAACGAGACCUUCGGGUCUAGUGUCGCGCGGGUGCGUAACGCGUGGGAACCUGCCCUUAGGUUCGGAAUAACUCCCCGAAAGGGGUGCUAAUACCGGAUAAUGUCUUCGGACCAAAGAUUUAUCGCCUUUGGAUGGGCCCGCGUUGGAUUAGCUAGUUGGUAGGGUAAAAGCCUACCAAGGCGACGAUCCAUAGCUGGUCUGAGAGGAUGAUCAGCCACACUGGGACUGAGACACGGCCCAGACUCCUGCGGGAGGCAGCAGUGGGGAAUAUUGGACAAUGGGCGAAAGGCUGAUCCAGCAAUGCCGCGUGAGUGAUGAAGGCCUUAGGGUUGUAAAGCUCUUUUACCCGGGAUGAUAAUGACAGUACCGGGAGAAUAAGCUCCGGCUAACUCCGUG
rnacentral:rRNA from 1 species